UAGGUAAACAGGCACAAUGAUUGUUUGCUGCACAGAUAUACCCAUCACCUAGGUAUUAAGCCCAGCAUCCAUUAGCUCUUCUUCCUGAUCCUCUCCCUCCCCACCACCCCACAAAAAGAUCCUUUUUUUUUUUUUUUGAGAUGGAGUUUCACUCUUGUUGCCCAGACUGGAGUGCAAUGGAGUGAUCUUGGCUCACUGCAACCUCCGCCUCCUGGGUUGAAAUGAUUCUUCUGCCUCAGGCUCCCGAGUAGCUGGGAUUACAGUCGUGCGCGACCACGCCCAGCUAAUUUUGUAUUUUUAGUAGAGAUGGGAGUUUCACUAUGUUGGCCAGGCUGGUCUCCAACUCCUGACCUCAGGUGAUCCGCCCCCUUCAGCCUCCCAAAGUGCUGGGAUUACAGGCCUGAGCCACUCCACUCCAAAAAGAUUCUUAAUAGAGGAUUUAGAACGACAUGCUCUUGUAGUGCUCUGCGUGGACUUGGCAGACAGUAAGAACUUAGUACAGUUAUAGUAGCCUUCGUGGUCUGCAACAACUGCACCCAAUUCUGGUUCCCCAGCAAAACUAUUUUUUUUAAGGGCCCCAACCAAGCAUCAAGCUCUCUAGCAGGGUAGGGAUGGGCAAGGUAGACGCUAAAUGUUUUACACUCACCAGGGGAUUUUAAGUAGGCUUGGGGCAAGGAAGCCUGGACACGAGCCCGCAUUGUAGCUCUUUGAGCCUUUGCUCCUGGCCUCUGUCUCCAUCUGUACAGAACAAUCUGUGAGCAAACUCCGGUGGUUCUUUCGGGAAGUUCUCUGCUGCCCCCUGGUGGACAAGGGAAGUUCACACCUUAGUGCAGUUGCAGCUAUGUAUGGAGUCCUUAGCUGGAGCACAUGCGGUACCAAGCGCCCAUGAUGACAGGGGUCCUACGUAUCUACACACUUGGGGUGCAUUUUCACAAGUGACCCUCAUUCAGUUAUUAUGUCAGCUCUGAAGCCAUGGAGGGAAAUGACUGCCCCAUUGUCCCGCAGCAAGCCACAAGGACUAGGACUCAAGUCUCUGGGUGGACUUGCUCUUUGGGUUGGAGGUGUAGGGAUGAGUAACAAUGCCUAGAAAUCACAGGGCAGUGAGAACACCCCUCCACAUCACCAGUCAUGGAGUUAUGGGUGCUGUGCACCUCCAGCUAUGCCAUGAGGACCCUGAGUGGACAGGCUGUGGCACGAGGCCAUGGAAAUUGAGCAAGGUCAGACAUUGGAGGCAAGGCCUCCUGUCACGGAGAAAGUCACCUUAUCAUUCCACCAUUGGCAGAGGAGGACUCAAAGGUUGACCACACCCUCUGGUCUGACUCCCAGUCAAUGUCCCUGAUGUCCCUGUGGGUCCAGUCACUGGGUCCUAGUGCCCUGGCCCGGCCCCUUCCUUCUUCCUGGAAAAUCUCCUAAGGAGUUGCUUUCCUGGGUCUCCAGCUUACGUUACCUCCUGAUUGAUCUCUCCCGAUUACUAAUCUGGUUGACCUUGACUUCUGAAAACCCACCAGUGCCCCUGUGCACUCCCAAGCAACACCCCUUGGGACGGCAACACGAUCCCACCUACUGGACCUCAGCCACCUCCCCAGCCUCACUCUCACCACUCCCUUCUGUCCCCAAGCUCCAGACCUGUGGAUUUAUUUGUAUUUUUUGGAUAAAAAUAAAAAUAAUUUUCUAUUUUCUUCCCUAAGCCUUUGCAAUUGCUGUUCCCUGUGCAUGGAACCCACUCCCCUCCCCCAUGCACCCAUCCCACUGCACUGUUGUCUAGCUCACUCCUACUCUUGGAGUCUGACUCCCCUGUCCCGGCCUCUGCUUCCCUGAUCACUGCAGCAACCAUCCUGUCUUAUCACCUUCUCACCUCGUC
rnacentral:lncRNA from 10 species